GUAUUUGAGCCAAGAUGAUGUGUCAAUAGCCCCAAGAAGAACUCUGCGGAGAGGGCAUCCCCAGCAGAGGGAACAGGAGGUGCAAAGACCCUAAAAUCGAGGAAGAAUUAGGUAUGUUUAAGGAACUGAAAGAAAGUCAGUGGGGCUGGAGCCAGUGACUAAGGGACAGGUGGUGGGCACAAGGUGAGAUGAGGAGGCAAGGGGCCAGAACAAAAGAUUGGAGACUGGUAUUUUAUCUUAAGAAUGGAGAUUCUUGCCCUGGAGAAUUCUGAGCAAGGAAGGGACACGAUCGCCCUCAUAUUUCAAAAGAAUCUUUCCUGCUGCUGGGACUGUGGCUACUUAAAAACGACUUGUAGGUGCAAGAGCAGAGACAUUAUUUUGCCGACAAAGGGACCUGGAGGCCCCCAAACGCUUGGAUUCUCUUCCUGCCAAAUGUGACCACUUCCUGCAUCAUGAUCCUGAUGAAACCCAGCUGAGGGAGACGGACAGAGGGAAGAUCAGGCCUUGCCUUCUCAGAGUUUAUGGGCGCAAAUCUAGGAAGACUGCUAAGCUCAGAUGCUGCCUUCUCCAGGCAGUCUUCCCAAUGGUGGGUCACUCCUCUUCUGCGCACUGUGCCUGCUUCUACCACAACACCUGCCACCCUGAUGAAUAACAUCUGCUCACACAGCUUCUCCUGGUAGGUCUGCAAUGUGUUUGGGGAAGGGUGUCAGCUCCACAGUGUUUGCCUUAGGGCCUGGCGCAUAGUAGGUGCUCAGUUAGUGCUUAAUGGGGAGUGGGUGAAUAAAAUGCUGACUGACUGUGAAGCUCAUGGAGUAUAAUCUCAG
rnacentral:lncRNA from 1 species